rnacentral:rRNA from 1 species
UACGUAGGUGGCGAGCGUUGUCCGGAUUUACUGGGCGUAAAGAGCGCGCAGGCGGCCUGAUCAGUCGAAUGUGAAAGCCCCCGGCUCAACUGGGGAGGGUCAUUCGAUACUGUCAGGCUAGAAGGCAGGAGAGGGAAGUGGAAUUCCCGGUGUAGUGGUGAAAUGCGUAGAUAUCGGGAGGAACAACAGUGGCGAAGGCGGCUUACUGGACAAUUACUGACGCUAAGGCGCGAAAGCGUGGGGAGCAAACAGG